CCCCCCGCCACUCACCCUCCUGACCUCCUUGGGAAGCGCCAAGGAACGAUCCUAAAGAGGCCAGGUGUGGGGCUCUCCAAAACAGAAAAACCAGGAAAUUAAAAAGAUGUGUUUGUUUGGGGAUGUCUUCUGGUGUGGCUGGAGGUUAGGAAUAUUUGGGGAACAAAUUAGAGAUUCCUUUAGAAGCAUAAGAAUCAGAUGCUUGGAGGGGGGAUAGAUUUAGGAGAUCGAGUCUAUUGCCAGGGUUGUGGCUCCCAGAGAGACCCAGAAGCCCUCCUUUAACUCCUGGCUGAAUGGAGAGGGGAGAUGGGGAGACUGGGGUUCUCCAGGAGGAAGCUUGGGUGUCCAUGGGACACCGGGCUGGGGAGAGGGAUUGCUGAGGCCUCGGAGGUGCAGACUGGGGUCUGCAGUGGUCUGCAGUUCGCUCCCCGAGCUCCUCCAGCCGUAGUUGCAGAGGACUGAGUUUGUAGGGGAAGCCUGUGAUCCCUGAUGACUUGAAAAGGGUCCUGAGUCAGCCAUGGCUGCUGAGGCAGGCUCGAGACCCUCCUACCCAGCAGUCAGCAGGAGAGAGCUUGGGUGGCGGACCCUGGGCCAGGCAGGGUGUCCGUAGAGCUGCUUAAAGCCCCUUCUCUGGCUGUAUGUGGACUUGGGCUGGGGACACAUAAGAGAAUUGGGGGGUCUGGGGGAACCUGUCCUCAGAGUUGGGAUGGAAUGGCAGGAAAGGCAGGUGACCCUCUUCUAGAGGCUGUUUCCCACUGCCUCGUGCUUUCCUGAAAAUGUUGGGCUUUGCUCUCUCUCUGCCCUGGAAUAAGGAGAGGAUCAUCGGUACCCAAAAGGGAGUGGGGACCCCAAGAAUACCAGGCUAUAUUUGAAGAAGAUGCUUCUAGAAGUCACUUUACGUUGUUCCUCUCCCAUAUCUCAAGCCUCAACAUCGCUCUGGCUCAACCUUGAUCCAUCCAGGGCCCCAUCCUGCCAAGAUCUGUGGGUCCCAGUAGAAGGCCUGGGGUCUCCUCCAGGGGUCCCCCAGCUUCCCCUACCCCUAUUGCUCUAGAGAUGCAAACGUGGAAGCAAGGAGUCCCGCCUCCCCUGAACCAUCCAAGAUUCCAUUUCUCCCCCUGCCCGCCCCUCUCCACGCCCUCCCCCAGCUGCUUUUGUGCAACAAAGGCAAAGGAAAAAAAAAAAAGACCAAGGGAACAGAAGGGGAGGGAGCCACGUUGGCCGGCCGUGGGCAGCUGGGUGGCCCCCCAAAGAGGAAGGGGAGUCCUCCCAGCUCUUCAGGCCCUGACGUCUGGACUCUGUGGUGCCGGACAGGGAGGGGAGCAGGGCUGAGGGAAGCCCAUGACGAGGCUUUGCCGGCCUUGACCACGCGAUGCUGUGAGACCUCCAGAAGUGUGCAGGCCAUACAGGGCACCAAGGCCUGGGCGUGAGAGGCAAACGUGGGGCCCCCGGGAUGACAGUGAUGAAGCGGUGGGUGUGGAUAGAGCCAUGGCCCCAGAGAGUGCCAGGAUGCUGAGGCUGAAGGGUUGGGGAAAAGGGAGCCCGCCAGGGACAGGGAAGGGCAGCCAGAGAAGGAGAUGAGGAGCAGAGGGGUCAGGGGUCCUAGAAGGAGGGGAGCUGGGCACUGCAGACAGGGCCGUGUGACCAGGAGUAGAGCUACGUGGGACCCUGCCUUGUGGCGUGGUGGGCGAGAAGUCAGACUGCAGCGGGCUGAGGCCCGGGAGGCUGGGAAAUGGGGUGCCGCUUUUCUUUUCUUUCUUUGCACUCCUGUCUUCCCUUUCAGUCCCUGCCUCUCCCUCUCUCUUCCGUGUGACUUUGUCCUUCUCCAUCCUGCUCCUCUCUGGAGCUCUUUUUUCUGGAUCGCUUUGUCUUUUUGCUCGCUGCCCCCCUUUCCUGUCUCCCCAGGGGACCUGAGCCACUAGAUGUCCACAACCAGGCUGGGCGCCCACCUGUCUUCCAGAGCAAGUCCUCAGCCCAGCCUCCUGAGGGGGAAGCUUGAUUUCCAGUCCUGGCCAGAUCCUGCCCCAUUCUCUGGGACGCCUCAGCCCAAGGGGGACAACUUGGGGCAGAGGAAACAGGGAAUAGGCUGGCACGGGAAGGGCUGGAGUGUGGCCCGCAGGUGACACCAGGAUCAAGGUGGCCCCGGGCUCCUGUGCCAACACUGCCCAUCCCCCAAGGUGAGAACACGCUGGGGCAGGAGUUGUUGGGCUUGGGGACCUCAGUCCUCGCUGCUGCUCUGUGGCCAUCACACCUGAGGGUCAGUCCCCACCCAUCCUCCAAGUCCCCAGGCGGGGCUCUGUGAGCUGCAGCCGCAGCCCUAGCCCCUCACAGUCAGAGGGCAGAGAAAGUUCUGCUUGAGGCUUGGAUGAGUGGGCAAUUGGAUUUUUAUUUACUCCUUUCUGGUUUGGUUCAGCUCUGGGCUUAUUUGAUCUCAUUUCCGGUCCUCAAUUCCUUGCUCCCUUCCUAUUUUCUAUGCGUUUGCCUCUUCCCGUCCCUCUUCAUCUCUCCCUCUCUCCCUCAGCCUUUUCCCUCUUCAUGGACUUUGCUUCCUUCUCUUAGUUUUCUCUUCCCAUCCCUCUGCCCCUGAGCAUUGUCCCACCCCUCCACCCACGCACUCCUUUCUCCUCCUCCUUUCUCUCUCUCUCCCUGUUCUCUUCCGGUGUGGUGUCUGCUUCUGCAGGCUCUGGAUUUCUGGUGCCUCCAUCCCAUCCUGGGGGGCGGCACUCUGCCCCUGCCAGAGGCAAAGUGGGGACCGAGAAGCCCAUCUUGCAGUUCUGGGUCCUGCUCAGUAAAGUGGAAGCUUCCAGAGACGCCCAGGUGUUGAAACGGCUUUGCAGGGGGGCUUUGCAGCUGCACCCGGGCUGGGCAGGUGACAGGGCCCCAUGCAGAAUCCGAAUGUCAGGGAAGACCACACCGCGCCUGGAAGCCCAACACAGCCGAGAGAGAAACAGACAAUCAAGGCAUUGAAAAAGUGGAGGAGAAGCCUGGAAAAACUGGCUGGGGCCAAUGUCUAGAGGUAUGGGACUCCGGAUUCUCAUUCUGAAGGCCACAGGGAGCCAGUAACAGCUCUUGAGCAGGGCAUGGUUUGAUCCUUUUGCCAAGGAUUUGUCACCUUGGAGACAGCAGACGGACUCAGGUAAAAAUCUGGGGCUCUGCGGGGAGGGGAAGGUGGUGGGAUUUGCAGUUCUGGGAUUGACAAGAAAACAGGACAUGAGGCCAGGUAAAUAGGUAGACCAGAUGGCCCCUCCAAAGUUCACGUUCUGUCUCUCCUGCAAUCCAGUGUUCUAGUUUCCAGGUAGGAAUUUCGUGGCAUAGGCGAAGCCACUGAGGCACAGAAAAGGCCAAUCACCGCCCCAGGUCACGCAGCUAGGGUUGAGGCCUUGGAUGUAAGAUCCCUGCUGCACUCAUUUCAAGACUCCGGGUAGCAUGGGCUCCAGCUGCCUGGCCAGGCCUGCAGAUGGGGAUGAGGGCCAGCUGAUGGGGGACAGUCUUCUGGAGCCCCUCUCUGUAGAGCCAUGUGGCCCGAGGGGGAAGGGAGCCUGGUGGGCAGGGAGGAGCUGCCACAUGGAAGAGGCUUGAUGGGAACCAUCUGGCCUGUGCUGGGAGUGUGGGCUGCAGGAGGAGGGCGGGGCAGGAGGUGGGCAGGAGGCCAUGGUGGGCUGGGCCGGCCCGCUGGUGGAUGGCGGCCGGGGCUGGGAGCGGUGGCCCAGAGGCCCCUGCCUUCCAGACGGCUGUAGCCCAGAUGCCUUUGCAGCCGGCCUGGCCCCGUCCAACCCGCUGACCUCAUUCCCAGCGCCUCCUCCCUCCUCGCAGGCUCCUCGCCUGCCUGCCACGUAGACUCGGCCACAGGGGGAAGGAGAGUGGGACCCAGGUGCCCUGAGCCCAGAGCCCUGCCAGGACCUACAGAGCUGUGGGCAGCCGCUGUGACCACUUGGGGCCUCAGUUUCCUCUCCCCAAACAUGAGGUCCGGUAAAUGAGGGGGACUGGGGUGAUGGGAGAAGCCAGAUGAGAAGCAGGGUGGAGUGAGGAGCGGGGAACCAAGGGGGCUUCCUGGACUCGUGAGAGCCUUCCCCGCCUUCUGGGCUCCCGGGUGCUGUCCUCACAUCUCAGCAUCGCACUGGCUGUUGGGUGCAGAGAGCAGCACGCUGUCCCCUGUCGGGCUCCUCAGAGCCCCCCAUCCUGCCCCCCGGCCCGGCGUAUCUGCCUCCCUGCCCCCCAGGUCCUGGUGUUACUGUCCUGAGGAGCUGGGGCUGUCCCUGCCGUCUGCCCAGGCGUUCCCGGCCGCUCUCCCUUCCAAAAACUCCGGUCCCCCGGACACCCAGGGACCUCCUCCACCCUCAGGCCAUCUUUGCAGCUUGGCCUGGCUCUGGCCCCAGGCUGCACCCUUCGAGGAACUUCUGCUGAGGAGCUGCUCAGAGCUCGGAAGGACCUUCCCGAGAGGAGAGGAGGAGAGAGAGACACAGAGAGAGAGGUGGAGCCAGUUUCCUGGAGUCACAGAGCUGGGAAGUAGCUGCACUGAGAUGAAAACCCAGAAAGUCUCAUGCUUCACUCAGAGACCCAGGACGGAUGCCAAGUGGACCACCCCACCCCACUGCAGAAGUGGCUGUUUGCAGGAAUGCGCUGUCUCCUCUUGGGCUCAUGCACGGGAAGGACCACAGCAUAACGUGGCUGAAACUGACCACAGGCACUAGCCGAGUGGCCAGUCCCAGCUACCCCGCCCUGCCUCCCGUCUGCCCAGGGGCUACUGUGAGCUGACCACACCACGACACACACAGCAUCUCAUUUAUUUCAUUAAAAAAAAACUCUCCCUCCAUUUAUUUUCCUUUUCUUUUUUCUCUAUUUUUCAUUAGUGUAUAUUUGUGACAUAAGAAAUGCAUUCAUCAUGGGGAAUCGGCACCUAUACAAACUCUGGUCUUAAUCCUUUUUACUCCCUUUCUCUCCCCACUCUCCUAUCUCCACCACCCUCAGACUCCCCCUCCCCUCCUUUGCUUUGAUUUAUUGAUCCUUUGUAUUGGGUUUUUUGGUACCGGGGAUCGAACUCGGGUCCUUGUGCUUGAGCAGCAGGCAACGAAACCACUAAGCUAAAUCCCAGGCCCUGUAUUGGUUUUUAAUCUCAAUUCAUUAAUUUCCAUUCUGAUCAUUACAAUCUCUUUCCUUCUAUUAGUUUC
rnacentral:lncRNA from 1 species